rnacentral:piRNA from 1 species
UCAAUAUAAGGAAGGGACCUGCAAAAUC